AUACGUAGGUGACAAGCGUUAUCCGGAUUUACUGGGCGUAAAGGGCGUGUAGGCGGUCUUGCAAGUCAGAAGUGAAAUUCCUGAGCUCAACUCGGGCGCUGCUUCUGAAACUGCAGGACUUGAGUGCUGGAGGGGAUAGCGGAAUUCCUAGUGGAGCGGUAAAAUGCGCAGAUAUUAGGAAGAACACCGGUGGCGAAGGCGGUGAUCUGGAAAGUAAUGGCGGCUGAGGCGCGAAAGCUUGGGGAGCAAACAGGAUUAGAUACCCGGGUAGUCCACGCCGUAAACGAUGAAUUCUAGGUGUAGGGGGUAUCGACUCCCUCUGUGCCGCAGUUAACACAAUAAGUAUUCCGCCUGGGGAGUACGGCCGGAAGGUUGAAACUCAAAGGAAUUGACGGGU
rnacentral:rRNA from 1 species